rnacentral:hammerhead_ribozyme from 1 species
AUCCACCUGACCAGUCCCAAAUAGAACGAAUACGCGUCUUGGAU